UACGGGGGAUGCAAGCGUUAUCCGGAAUCAUUGGGCGUAAAGCGCCUGUAGGUGGUUUAGUAAGUCUGUUGUUAAAGACUAGGGCUUAACCCUAGAAAAGCGAUGGAAACUACUAGACUAGAGUAUGGCAGGGGUAGAGGGAAUUUCUAGUGUAGCGGUGAAAUGCGUAGAUAUUAGAAAGAACACCGGUGGCGAAGGCGCUCUACUGGAUCAUUACUGACACUCAGAGGCGAAAGCUAGGGUAGCAAAAGGGAUUAGAUACCCCUGUAGUCCUAGCCGUAAACGAUGGAUACUACAUGUUGCGUUUUUAAUGCAGUAUGGUAGCUAACGCGUUAAGUAUCCCGCCUGGGGAGUACGAUCGCAAGGCUG
rnacentral:rRNA from 1 species